AGAGAGAAAGAGAAGCCUUUUAAAGCUUAUGCAGAAAAGCUUGCUGCUCUAGCAAGUUCUCUCCGGCAAGGCAGACAUCAAACAGAUGGCUCUAAGCUAGACCUCUUCACACUGAAACUAAACCUUUGUGGCAGAUAGGCGGUGGAAAUAUUCCCACUAUGGUGCAAUAACCUGUAUUUGUUUGCACCUCAUUCUGUAAAACAUAACCUGUCCUCCAAAAGCAAACGCCUCUUUUUAAAUCUAAAUGCCUAGACCAAGAAGCAUAUUCACAUGGUAAAAUUAGAGGAUUACACAGCAGCCAUGUUUCUAGAUUAAAGAGUUCUUGGAGGUAUCUCAAAGCAUUUGCUAGGAGUGUGAACGAGAUAGCUCAGCGAGUAAAGUGCUUACCAGGCAAAUCUGACAGCCUGGAUUUGAUCCCACGACCCCACAGUGAAGGAGAGAACUGAUUUCUGAAAGUUGUCCUCUGACCUCCGCACUCACACAUAAACAUUCACAAGUAACCCACAAAGAAUAAUAUUCCCAGUAGGAUACAAGACGCUGUGUUUGUUUGUACCUUGUUUUGUAAAGCAUUACCUGUGCCCCAAAUAAUAAAUGAAAUUUAAAAUUUAAA
rnacentral:lncRNA from 1 species